rnacentral:rRNA from 1 species
AUGUCCACGCCGCCGCCGACGACCAUCCCCGACGAGCUCCUGGAGGAGAUCUUCCUCCGCCUGCCCACGCCGGACGCGGUCGCGCGCGCCUCCGCCGCCUGCACAUCCUUCCGCCGCGUCAUCAAAGCCCGCGCCUUCCGCCGCCGCUUCCGCGCGCUGCACCGGCCUCCCCUCCUCGGCUUCAUGGACGCGGUCGGAUUCCACCCCGCCCAGGCUCCGCACCCCUCCGCUCCGCUCGCCGGCGCCCUCGCCCCCCGCGCCGCCGAUUUCUCCUUCGUCCCGGCCGUCGUUUCUUCUGCCUCCUACUUCGUGCCGCGGGGCGUCCAAGAAGACGACGGGGAAGGGCCCCGCUGGCGCCCCUGCGACGUCCGCGACGGCCGCGUCCUCCUCGAUUGGAGAUCCCUCCGCCCCGGCCUCGAGGUCUCUGGAGUAAGCACCCUCAUGGGCUCCAGGGAACUCGUUAGACGCAAACUCUGUGUCCGCCCCAAAUGGUGCAACGCCGCCGACUUCCACCUCGCCGUCUGUGACCCCCUGUCCAGCAGAUACGUGCUGCUUCCAACAAUACCUCAGGACCUCGCCGCCCAGCCGCAGGAUCUCCUUUGGGAAUUCCUGCCCGUGCUUGCUCCCUGCACCGGCGACGACAGCGACGAAGAGCCCUUCAAGGUGAUAUGCAUAGCAAGAUACCGAACGAAGCUCGUCCUCUUUGUAUUCCCGUCCACAACUAGGCAAUGGUCUAUGGUCGAGUCCCCCAUUUCCCCUUCUUUGUACGACAUGUCCUGUUUUGACUAUGUGCGGGGCUCUUUCUACUGGACAGAGCCUUAUGAUUUGAGUGACCAUUUGAUGGUGCUGGACACCCGCACUUUGAAGUUUUCCACUGUCGGCCUUCUCACCGGUUACCAUAUGGAGAUCAGAGGUCUGCCUGGCCAGAGCUUUGAUGAUCUUCGCCCAAAUGCUGUUGUGAUGGGCCGAGAAGGAACCCUUGAGAUGUUUUCUCUUGUCUGUCAACAAGGGGCCUUUGCUCUCUACCAUACCUCUCUGCAGAAUAAUUCACAGGAAUGGAAGCUAGAGAAGAUUAUACAGCUGCCUGGGCAGUAUCAUGACUAUUCCAUUUCCACAGUUGGUGCAGCCGAGGGAUUCUUGUUCUUCCGGGGCGCUCCAGAUGGUAUUCCUAUUGAGAAUGUGGAUUGUUACUCAUUGGAGGUCAAGGCUUAUGAAAUUACCAAAGUCUGCACAAAGAGGGAGAAUACCUACAAUCCCAGACGUGCCCUCCCCUACUUUAGCUUCCCACCGCUGUUAUCGGAACCAACCAUCUGA